AAAUAUACAUCUCCAUCGUCUUCUUCCUUCCUCCCUCUUCUAAUCCCAGAU
rnacentral:sRNA from 1 species